CAAGUUCUGCUUUGACCAAAACAGCUGGCAGUGAAAGGGUUGAUUCUGGCUUUAAAAAAAGGCAAACCCCUUCACUGUUUUGAUCACUUCUAAAAGGGGCAUUACCAUUUUAAUUCUCAGCCCAGUCACAUGUUUAUUCCCACCAGGUCUCAGUGAUACCAAUUAUAUCAUAUAUCAUAAUUCUCAGUACAUGCAAUAAACUCCAUCUCUCCUAAUUUACCUGACAAGCCCUGUGCAUUUGGCAGCAUACAGCAGAGGUUACUACUUUUCCCUCUGAUGUUUAUAUUACAUAACGGAGAGUUAGAGCUAAGGUUACUAUUAGCCUGGUUUUCUUUGUAACAGAGGGAAUCCCCUUAGCUGGUAAACUGUAUGCCCCCUCACUCCUCCCAACUUAUCCCACUGCCAGGUCUACAUCUAGCUCACCAACCCAUCCCCCUUGCCUAGUUUAUUUUUUGCCACGGCAAGUUUUCAGAAAGUUGGAGGGAUCUAUGGUGGAGUGUCACAGCCCACAUUUUCACGGUGCCUUGGCCAGGUCCUGGAUGCAAUACAUCCAGUGUCUGGCAAUUAUAUCAAUUUUCCCACCAAUAGAAAUGAGUGGAACACCCUCAGAAAUGUGUUAGGUACCAUAGAUUAUACCCAUGUGGCAUUUAAUCCCCCCCACCGACAAAGAGCAUAUUUUCCGGAAUCACAAAAGUUACCAUUCUCUCAAUAUACAAAUCGUCUGUGACGCUAACAUGAAUAUCAGGAGUAUUGUGUCCAGAUUUCCAUGCUCCUCCCAUGAUGCUUACAUUUUCAAAUGGUCCGGACUAUAUGCUGAUUUUCAAAGUGGACAAAUGCCUCAUGGAUGGCUUUUAGGAGAUGCUGGCUACCCGUGUUAUCGGUGGCUAGUGACCCCGAUACCCAGGCCACGUACAAGGGCUGAAUCUGCUUUUAAUGACAUAGUAACAUAGAGAUUCUCUGCGGAGCUUUCUUGCUGACUUUCCAACCCAGUGGCUUCUUGGACGUUGAUCUAAAAAAAGGAUAUAUUUUUUUCAAUCUUCUCAGUGAUGGAGAAUAAUGUAAUUCUGUUAUUUUUGGACAUUACAAAGUUCAUGUGAAGAAAACCUUUUUAAAAGGACCACCUCCAGUUCCAGACCUAAACAAAAUAUAUGAAUGCUUUUAUUGUGUUGGCUACAAUAAGCAAUCCCAUGACAACUACGAAAUAACGCAGAAAUAUAUUGCAUGCUUUAAAAUAACGCUUAAAAAUAUGUAAUUGUCAGAUAAAUAACAACAAUAAAAUCACUUCUUAAU